rnacentral:rRNA from 1 species
AGAGUUUGAUCAUGGCUCAGGACGAACGCUGGCGGCGUGCCUAACACAUGCAAGUCCAGGAGAAUUGGUUUCUUCGGAUUCCAUAGUAAACUGGCGAACGGGUGAGUAACACGUAAGUAACCUGCCCUAGGGACGGGGAUAACACUGCUAACGCGGUGCUAAUACCGGAUAAUGCAGCGGAUCCGCAUGGAUAUGUUGUUAAAGCUGGCCUCUUCAUGAAAGCUAGCACCUUAGGAUGGACUUGCGUCCCAUUAGUUAGUUGGCGGGGUAACGGCCCACCAAGACCGCGAUGGGUAGCCGGCCUGAGAGGGUGACCGGCCACACUGGGACUGAGAUACGGCCCAGACUCCUACGGGAGGCAGCAGUGAGGAAUAUUGCGCAAUGGCCGAAAGGCUGACGCAGCAACGCCGCGUGAGGGAUGAAGUACUUUGGUAUGUAAACCUCUGUUAGAAGGGACGAACAAGCGAUUGUCGAACAGGCAGUCGCUUUGACGGUACCUUCAGAGAAAGCCCCGGCUAACUCCGUGCCAGCAGCCGCGGUAACACGGGGGGGGCAAGCGUUGUCCGGAAUUAUUGGGCGUAAAGGGCGCGUAGGUGGGACAGCAAGUCUGGGGUGCAAACUUAUGGCUUAACUGUAAGCUUGCCCUGGAUACUACUAUUCUUGAGUUCGGGAGAGGGAAGUGGAAUUCCUGGUGUAGCGGUGAAAUGCGUAGAUAUCAGGAAGAACACCGGUGGCGAAGGCGGCUUCCUGGCCCGAUACUGACACUGAGGCGCGAAAGUGCGGGGAGCAAACAGGAUUAGAUACCCUGGUAGUCCGCACAGUAAACGUUGGACACUAGGUGUUGGUCUCUAUGAGAUCAGCGCCGCAGCUAACGCAUUAAGUGUCCCGCCUGGGGAGUACGACCGCAAGGUUGAAACUCAAAGGAAUUGACGGGGGCCCGCACAAGCGGUGGAGCAUGUGGUUUAAUUCGAUGCAACGCGAAAAACCUUACCUGGGCUUGAACUGUAGUCGCAAACUCAUGAAAGUGAGUCCUACUUCGGUACGGCUAUAGAGGUGCUGCAUGGCUGUCGUCAGCUCGUGCCG